UGGGGAAUAUUGGACAAUGGGCGAAAGCCUGAUCCAGCCAUGCCGCGUGUGUGAAGAAGGUCUUCGGAUUGUAAAGCACUUUAAGUUGGGAGGAAGGGCAGUUACCUAAUACUUAAUUGUUUUGACGUUACCGACAGAAUAAGCACCGGCUAACUCUGUG
rnacentral:rRNA from 1 species